UACGUAGGGUGCAAGCGUUGUCCGGAAUUAUUGGGCGUAAAGAGCUCGUAGGCGGUCUGUCGCGUCUGCUGUGAAAACUCAGGGCUUAACCCUGAGCUUGCAGUGGGUACGGGCAGACUAGAGUGCGGUAGGGGAGACUGGAAUUCCUGGUGUAGCGGUGAAAUGCGCAGAUAUCAGGAGAAACACCGGUGGCGAAGGCGGGUCUCUGGGCCGUAACUGACGCUGAGGAGCGAAAGCAUGGGGAGCGAACAGG
rnacentral:rRNA from 1 species